CCCUUAGAUGUUCUGGGCUGCACACGUGCUACACUGGCAGGUUCAGCGAGCUUCGUGCCCUGAUCUGAAAGGAAUGGGAAAUCUUUUCAAAACCUGCCGUGCUUGGGAUAGAUGUUUGCAAUUAUUCAUCUUCAACGAGGAUUGCCUUGUAAGCGCAUGUCAUCAGCAUGCAUUGAAUACGACCCUGUAUUCUGUACACACCGCCCGUCGCUCCUACCGAUUGGAUGGUCCGGUGAAGCCUCGGGAUUGUGGUUCUUGCCGCUUUAUUGUGGCGUGACCGCGAGAACUUGUCUAAACCUUAUCAUCUAGAGGAAGGUGAAGUCGUAACA
rnacentral:rRNA from 1 species